rnacentral:rRNA from 1 species
AUUGAACGCUGGCGGCAGGCCUAACACAUGCAAGUCGAGCGGAUGAAGGGAGCUUGCUCCUGGAUUCAGCGGCGGACGGGUGAGUAAUGCCUAGGAAUCUGCCUGGUAGUGGGGGAUAACGUCCGGAAACGGGCGCUAAUACCGCAUACGUCCUGAGGGAGAAAGUGGGGGAUCUUCGGACCUCACGCUAUCAGAUGAGCCUAGGUCGGAUUAGCUAGUUGGUGGGGUAAAGGCCUACCAAGGCGACGAUCCGUAACUGGUCUGAGAGGAUGAUCAGUCACACUGGAACUGAGACACGGUCCAGACUCCUACGGGAGGCAGCAGUGGGGAAUAUUGGACAAAGGGCGAAAGCCUGAUCCAGCCAUGCCGCGUGUGUGAAGAAGGUCUUCGGAUUGUAAAGCACUUUAAGUUGGGAGGAAGAGCAGUAAGUUAAUACCUUGCUGUUUUGACGGUACCAACAGAAUAAGCACCGGCUAACUUCGUG